AUGACCUGGACGCCGGCCCGCCCUCCACGGGCUCCUCCACCGCCGCGCUCGUCUCGCCGGCGGCCUCCUCGUCCUCCUCCUCCUACGCCACUAGCGCCAACACCACCCCCACCGCCGACCCCGGCAGCGCCAGGGGCCCCGUCGCGCUCAUGCCCACCACCCCGACGCCCACCUCCGCCGGCCUCCGCCUCUCCAAGUCUGGCAGCAAGUCCUUCAAGGUACCACCACCACCAAACUACAUAUCCAGUUAUACACCUGUGA
rnacentral:rRNA from 1 species